rnacentral:piRNA from 1 species
GAAGUCCUUGAUGUUUUCCAA